GGCCUAUUAACUCAGUUGGUCAGAGUGUUAUGUUAAUAAUGUGAAGGUCAUAGGUUUGAAACCUGCAUAAGCUA
rnacentral:tRNA from 1 species